GAUGAACGCUAGCGGCAGGCCUAAUACAUGCAAGUCGAACGGUGUCUUCGGACAUAGUGGCGCACGGGUGCGUAACACGUAUGCAACCUACCUUACAUUGGGGGAUAGCCUUUCGAAGGGGAGAUUAAUACCGCAUAAGACAGUAGCUGGGCAUCCAGCAGCUGUUAAAGAUUUAUCGAUGUAAGCUGGGCAUGCGUCCAAUUAGCUAGUUGGUGAGGUAGCGGCUCACCAAGGCAAUGAUUGGUAGGGGAACUGAGAGGUCAAUCCCCCACACUGGCACUGAGAUACGGGCCAGACUCCUACGGGAGGCAGCAGUAGGGAAUAUUGGGCAAUGGACGCAAGUCUGACCCAGCCAUGCCGCGUGCAGGAUGAAGGCGUUAUGCGUUGUAAACUGCUUUUAUACAGGAAGAAACGACUCUUGCGAGAGGCAUUGACGGUACUGUAUGAAUAAGCACCGGCUAACUACGUGCCAGCAGCCGCCGUAAUAC
rnacentral:rRNA from 1 species